rnacentral:rRNA from 1 species
GAUGAACGCUGGCGGCGUGCCUAAUACAUGCAAGUCGAGCGAACAGACGAGGAGCUUGCUCCUCUGACGUUAGCGGCGGACGGGUGAGUAACACGUGGAUAACCUACCUAUAAGACUGGGAUAACUUCGGGAAACCGGAGCUAAUACCGGAUAAUAUAUUGAACCGCAUGGUUCAAUAGUGAAAGACGGUUUUGCUGUCACUUAUAGAUGGAUCCGCGCCGCAUUAGCUAGUUGGUAAGGUAACGGCUUACCAAGGCAACGAUGCGUAGCCGACCUGAGAGGGGGAUCGGCCACACUGGAGCUGAGACAGGGACCAGACUCCUACGGGAGGCAGCAGUAGGGAAUCUUCCGCAAUGGGCGAAAGCCUGACGGAGCAACGCCGCGUGAGUGAUGAAGGUCUUCGGAUCGUAAAACUCUGUUAUUAGGGAAGAACAAAUGUGUAAGUAACUAUGCACGUCUUGACGGUACCUAAUCAGAAAGCCACGGCUAACUACGUG